GCAAACUUGGUCAUUUAGAGGAAGUAAAAGUCGUAACAAGGUUUCCGUAGGUGAACCUGCGGAAGGAUCAUUAUUGAAUGUUGCCUUGAUAGGUUGUCGCUGGUCCCUUGUAAUGGGGGGCAUGUGCACGCCUGUCUUGACUUCAAUUCAUCCACCUGUGCACCUUUUGUAGUCUUUUUUCUUGGGGGGAGUUGGGGAAGUGGCAGCUUUAGACUGUCACUGAACCUUUCCCACUUGGAGGAGGGGCUAUGUUUUUACAUAUACCAUUAGAAUGUUACAGAAUGUUGUCAAUGGGCACAUGUGGCCUAUAAUAAAAUCUAUACAACUUUCAGCAACGGAUCUCUUGGCUCUCGCAUCGAUGAAGAACGCAGC
rnacentral:misc_RNA from 1 species